rnacentral:rRNA from 1 species
GACGAACCGUGCGAACGUUGUUCGGAAUCACUGGGCUUAAAGGGCGCGUAGGCGGGCUCACAAGUCGAGGGGUGAAAUCCCACGGUUCAACCGUGGAAGUGCCUUUGAUACUGUGGGCCUUGAGGGAGGUAGGGCGUGCGGAACUUCCGGUGGAGCGGUGAAAUGCGUAGAUAUCGGAAGGAACACCGGUGGCGAAAGCGGCGACGCGUGGACCUCUACUGACGCUGAG